UACGUAGGGUGCAGGCGUUAAUCGGAAUUACUGGGCGUAAAGCGUGCGCAGGCGGUCUGCUAAGACAGGUGUGAAAUCCCCGGGCUCAACCCGGGAACUGCGUCCGAGACUGGCAGGCUCGAAUCCGGGAGAGGGAUGUGGAAUUCCAGGUGUAGCGGUGAAAUGCGUAGAUAUCUGGAGGAACACCGGUGGCGAAGGCGGCAUCCUGGACCGGUAUUGACGCUGAGGCGCGAAAGCCAGGGGAGCAAACGGG
rnacentral:rRNA from 1 species